rnacentral:rRNA from 1 species
AGGUGGCCGCAGAGAAUAGGCCCAAGCGACUGUUUACCAAAAACAUAGGUUUCUGCUAAGUCGCAAGACGAUGUAUAGGAGCUGACGCCUGCCCGGUGCUGGAAGGUUAAGGGAAUCUGUUAGAGCAAUCGAAGCAGUGAACUUAAGCCCCAGUAAACGGCGGCCGUAACUAUAACGGUCCUAAGGUAGCGAAAUUCCUUGUCGGGUAAGUUCCGACCCGCACGAAAGGCGUAACGAUUUG